CCUACGGGAGGCAGCAGUGGGGAAUAUUGCACAAUGGGGGAAACCCUGAUGCAGCGACGCCGCGUGAGUGAAGAAGUAUUUCGGUAUGUAAAGCUCUAUCAGCAGGGAAGAAAAUGACGGUACAUGAUUAAGAAGCCCCGGCUAACUACGUGCCAGCAGCCGCGGUAAUACGUAGGGGGCAAGCGUUAUCCGGAUUUACUGGGUGUAAAGGGCGCGUAACGGGCAGUACAAGUCUGGAGUGAAAUGCCGGGGCUUAACCCCGGAACUGCGUUGGAAACUGUUCAGCUAAAGUGCAGGAGAGGUAAGUGGAAUUCCUAGUGUAGCGGUGAAAUGCGUAGAUAUUAGGAGGAACACCAGUGGCGAAGGCGGGUUACUGGACUGUAACUGACGUUGGGGCUCGAAAGCGUGGGGAGCAAACAGGAUUAGAUACCCGUGUAGUC
rnacentral:rRNA from 1 species